UGGGUAAUCUUUUGAAACUUCAUCGUGAUGGGGAUAGAGCAUUGCAAUUAUUGCUCUUCAACGAGGAAUCCCUAGUAAGCAUGAGUCAUCAGCUCGUGCUGAUUACGUCCCUGCCCUUUGUACACACCGCCCGUCGCUACUACCGAUUGAAUGGCUUAGUGAGACCCUCGGAUCGAUAAGUGGAAACCUUCACGGGUAUCCUUUUGUUGAGAAGUUGGUCAAACUUGGUCAUUUAGAGGAAGUAAAAGUCGUAACAAGGUAGCCGUAGGUGAACCUGCGGAAGGAUCAUU
rnacentral:rRNA from 1 species